UUUUUUUUUUCAAAGCUAAGAAGCCCAAAAAUAGUUGAAAGACGUCUCAGAGCUUUCCGAAGACAAAUCCUGCCUUGUUCAGAAGACAAAUCUGGGGGUACAAGUAUUAAGUCUGAAGUCGUGGAGACUCCAAGGGCCAGUUCAGAUGGCCUGCAGAACUCCACAACACGCAGGAGGAGCAGGCGCUUUCGAGCCCAGCCUCCAAACCCGGGAACCUGUGUUCCAGCCCCUUGGCAGUUCACACAAAGGCUCGAUUCUGAGGCUCGCUCGGUUUAAGUAAAGGCUGCGUUGCAACUGGCUCAACGUGAAGGCGUCCACGUGGAAAGUAAUGAAUUUGGCUGGAUGGGCAGCCAACAUCAGCAUUGCCCAAGAGAGUUAGUAAACAAGCAGAUGAAAUAAAGAAAUAGCCUCAUUAAGGGUAAGAAAAAAAAGUAUAAAUGUAACAAGAGACCGUUUUGCAUCUAUUGAAUCAUAAUUUUUUUAAGCUAAUAAUAGCUGGUGUUGAUGAGGCUGUGGUGAAACAGGCAAGUCCACAUGUUGAUGGUGGCAGUGUCAAUUGAGAGUAAUUUGGCCAUACGGGGCGAGAGUCAUAAAACUGUGCCUUUUGACUCAAUAAUCCUUCUGCUGAGAAUCUGUCCAAAGGAUUUUCCAAGAAGAGAAAAGCCAUACGCGCAGAGCUGCUCAGAGCACCCUUAAGUAUUAUUAUGGCCCGUUACUAGGAGCCUGCAUUUUCAACACCAGAGAGCUGGUUUAGAAGAUUUAUCAACUUGAUGAACCUCUUUAAAAUUGAUCAUUAGGGCGUUCCCGUUGUGGCUCAGCAAGCUAAGAACCCAACUAGUAUCCAUGAGAAUGUGAGUUCAAUUCCUGGCCCCGCUCAGUGGAUUAAGAAUCCGGUGUUGCCCUGGGCUGCGGUGCAGGUCGCAGACGCAGCUCAGAUGCCACGUUGCUGUGUCUGUGGUGUAGGCCAGCAGCUGCAGCUCCAAUUCGACACCUAGCCUGGGAACUUCCACAUGCUCCAGGUGUGGACCUUAAAAAAAAAAAAAAAAAUCAUUAGUAAGGUGCUUGAACAAAAUGCAAAAAUGCUUAGGGCAUAAUGUCAGAUUACAGAAUAUUCCCUACACCUAUGCCCAUAUCAAAUCAUAAGUUAAUGUAUGGAUAGACAGAUCAGCUACCUGGAAACAAUCUGUCUGGUCAAGGGGAAGGUGGUUACUGAUUUUAUGUACUCAUCCAUUUCACUCCUUGGCAUCGCAGCGCUGUUUACGCAACUGGCGACAACGAUAUGGACGGCGAUGAUUUUUAUUAGUGAAUCUUCAGUAGCGUAUAGAAAAGGAGUGAGCCCUAGAAACCACACUCAGGGUAUGAGAAAUGGUCAAAGCCAGAGGCAUCUGAGGAUCUACUCAAAGAAACGUGACGUCUCAGCAGAAGAUGGAAAAUGUGGGUGCUGCUGGGGCUGCGCAUCAGCAAGGCCAGCCUUCCAGGCCCCCGUGGAGCAUCCGGCAGGCGGUAUCUGAUCUUCUCAGCUUCCUCCUCCCGGCCACACCCCCAGUCCCCAAACAGGAAUAGCGACCUCCGGACCUGUGCAUAUGUAAAUGUCCCCCUUCCUAAAACACCAAGCUCUGCUCAGAGGCCUAGACAUCAUUUAAAUACUGAAUUCCCUCCAAGAGGUGCUUCUCAAAAAGGCAACUGAGACCAGUUUCUACACGUGGUGCUUGAGGUCAUACUGAACUUUCGUUUUCUGUGGGGUGGGACCCAGCUGGGAUUUCCAGAGCGUGCAGCAGCAUCGGGGAACAGCGGCCCCCACUCAGAGUCCGCAGCGAUCAAGUGAGGGGUUAGCACUUCGAUGUUACAGGGGGACAGUCCCGACUCCACCCCUACCAGCCCUGGUACCUUGGGACAGGUUAUCUCACCCUCGUGACCUCAGUUUCUGCAUCCAUAAAAUGGGGAUUUUUCCAGAGCCUUCCUGGCAAGGAGCAGGGGGUGAGGGGGAGCACUGUGAGGAUUGAGAGAAAUACAGGCACUUAGCCCAGAGCCCNCAGCUGCGGGCGCUCACUGAAUCCUGGCUCUCGCCAUCACUCUCGGUCCAAGACUCCUUAUCCAGUAGAUUCAUCUGAGGUCUUUGCACCACGUACGCCCAUGGGGCGAGGGCAGGCAUACUAGUCAACGACCAAAUGCAGCCCAACCCGGCCGACAUUCGGAUCACAUGGUUGCUUCCCAAAAGCCCAGAUGCCCCCUCCCAGUGCAUUACAUCCGAUUCUCUGCGGGUGGGGACCUGGCACAGCUAGGGCUUUUUUCGAGCUGAAUCCAUUGUGCCACUGAACUGGGGCACACCUAACUUGGGCAAGAGCAACAAGUGAUCUGUCCCCCAAACCCCCAAGCCCAGGAGAGCUGGCGGCAAAAGCCUUUAUUUCUUUAGGCAGCAGCUCCUUCUGGAAGCGUCAGGCACUCUCUGAGUUACUGGCAGAGGACAAGGGGUUCCCCACUCUCUGCCCUCCUGCUCGGCCCUGUGACUUCCUGUAAGGCAGUGAAGUGGGCCAGCGGGAGCAACCUGCCCCACAGAGGCCACCGGGAAACACCUGACCAACUCAGGCAGUGACACGGGCAGGCCAGGACUGAACACAAAUCCCCGGGCUGUCCCUGCUCCACCGCAGCCUCCUUCUCAUCCUCUGCAGACCGACGCCCUGCGAGGCCUGGGCGCGGUGACAACAGGCGGGCCUCGGGCAGGUGCACUGAUUUCAGAGGGGGCACAUGUAAAGCGUGGGGGAUCACACCUGGGAACCUCAGACCCUUACCCGUGAAAUGGGCAGAACCUUCCCUGCAGGCGGCUGGGACUAUGCCCAGGGCCAGGCCCAGGAGAGGUUUUCAACCAAUGCAGGGGAGCUGCGGUUGGUGCAAAAUGCCACCAAGGGAGGUUCGGGGGCCACUCUUCCUGUGCGAAACACAAGCCCUCCUCCCCUGCACGCAGCCUUCCAGGCCUUGACCUGGCGGUGCAGCAAGAGCUGCUGGAGGAUCUGCAGGGCUGCCGGGGGCCAGAUCCGUGCUCUCCUGUAGGGAUUGGCACCUCGGGAAGGGAAGGGCCCCGCGGUGCUCAGCCUGGCUUGGCCUGAUGGAAGCAGGGCUUGCCAGGCCCUCUUUAACACUCUGGCCUGCCUGGAGGGCUCGGGGCUGGAGUGUUCAAAGGCCAGGACACUGCUCCUUCCUGGCCUCACUCCUAAGGAACCAGCCACAGACGCUGCCUGGAUUCCGAGGCAAGAGCCCCCAUUUCCAUCACACUGACUUACCCACAACGACAAAUCUCGCCCUCUCAAUAGGCUUUGGGGGUUGAUGCUAUUCUUAGUCCCACUUUUCAGAUGGGGAAAGUGAGGCACGAGAGGGCAGCUCCCUUCCCCAAGGUCACCGUAGCAGGACAGAGCCCUGCAGCCCUGCAGGUUCCAGACGGUGGGUGCUCCCAUGUGACACCACAGUGCCCUGGCUCCAGGGCUACCCCUCCUCUAAUCCCUCCCUUGGGACCCAUCACACUCCUUUUCCAUCCCGCCCAAGGCAGGGGGCUGGAGACCCUCCAUGGGAAAAGACACAGCCCGCCGGCUUGAGAGGUCACCUCGACCCCACUCCCCACCCUUCACCACAGCUUUCCUGACUUGCUCCACUGGUCGGCUUUCACCUAAACCAGUCUCUGGGUUCACUGUGACCUCCUGGCAUCUUCAGUUACCAGGGGCCAUGGACCUCCUAACGCAGAAUCCCUGACGAGGUCAAAACGGGCAGUGCAUGUGUGGAGCAGAGAAGCUGUGUGUGCCAGCCUGGCCCUCACCCCCGGGACUCCGAGCUGCUGCAUCCCCAGCCGCCCACCCUGGCUUCCGCCUAAUGGCAUUUUUGAAAGGGAGCCACCCCCGCCCCACCCCACAGCAGCCCAGAGCUCGGCACUCAAGAGGCCCAGGGUAUCUGGACAACAGACGCCCCCAGAUCCGCACCUGUUAGAGGGACAGCUGAGCAGAGAUCCUGUUCCCUAAGAGGCCAGGCAGGUACGGGUCCCUGAAAAAGCGGUGUGUGCACUUCUGGGUGUCUGCUGGAGCCUCUGCCCAAGACAGAAAGAUCCCGAACUUCUCCCCAACUGCCAUUUGGAAAACUCUGUGGAAUCUGUUCAUCCAAUCGGCCAGGCAGCCCUUGCACAAACAUUGCUCCAGCCCCACUCUCCUGCGCGUGCCUGCUGGUUGGGCACAGAUAUGAACAAAGAAGACAGUGCACACAAAGACAGGGUGCUCCAAGGUCACAGGAUGCCAGGCCUUCAAACCCCCAAGUGCCCUGGCAAAGAAGCACCCAAGCGUAACCACAGGCACCCAUAAGUGUUAGUUGCUGUAAGUGGAGGAGACGGACUUUUCUAGUCCAUAAUAAGGCCUGCAUGUGCUCACAUAUUUGCCAAUGACCCUGUCGUGUGACCUUGAGCGAGUUUCAGAUCCCCCAUGAGCAAGCGCCUGAGAUUGAAAGGAGCCGUGAAGAUGCAGCACACUUUCUUCUUUGUGCCUUUAUGAAAGGAGCAGCAGUGACCAGGGAUGCUGUCCCUUCCUUAGGACGUGUCUCAACAUCGGCCGGGGAAGCCAAGCAUGGACUCACCCUGAAGUGGCCUCGUUCUUGGCAGGGCUGUGGAGCGCACUCUGGACCCAGCUGGGCCAGGCUGUGUUAGGGGCUGGGCAGGGCCAUGUGCAGACCCCGUGGUCCCAUCCAGAACACACGCCUGAUGGUGAACAUUCCACUUUCUCGGGGCGGCCCCAACCCGAGCUCUGCCACUUCUCUUCCUUUCCACCAACAGUGUUUCGAGCCUCCUCUGUGCCCUAGAUGGGGAGUGGGGGGUGGGGAGGUGAGAGGGGAGGAGACAGAGACCCAGGCUUCUCAGGAUCAAUCCCAGGGGCCUCCGGGGCCUCUCCUCCAUCCUCCCUCCUCCAAGCUGAGACCUCACCGCCUCUUUCUCGCUUCAUUGCCAGGUUCAUUCCUGCUGGAGGCCUCAGGUUUGGUUUUCACUGGGGAAAGGCCCUGCCCUCCUCCUGACCACUCCCUGGGCCACAGAGGAUGUGUGUCCAUCCCCGUCAAAGGCACACAACCUACAAUCAGCCGGGGGUGACAUCCCAGGAGCCUCUAGAAACAAAUGCUCGUCACCCAAGGACUAUCAGGUGUCCCCCUCCAGUGAGCCUCCCAGAGCUGGCAUCAGCAGCCAGGUAGGGGCUCCCUCCCGGGGGUGAAGUGUCCAGGCUUGGCCAGCCAGCACACCUGCCAUGGCUCAGGCUCCUGUGAUGGCGCAAAAGGAGUAUGAACACCUCUCGUGGAGAGAGAGGAGGCGACCCCUGAUGCCCCCACCAGCAAGGUUCACCUGCUGUGAACCUAAAAGAGACAAGGUCAAACCCAACAGGCAAGGAGUUUCCACAAAGGUCCUUCCUACAGCCUGCUAGGGCCUGACCUUGACUCUCAUGUCCCACCCGAACUGGGGACAGAGCUGGGGACGAGCUGAGCAGAACUGCCCGUGUUCCACUUGCAAGUGCUCAGAAUCACCAGCCAGCCCCUGACCGGCUGGAAGACGAGGCAGCCCCAUGCCAGAGAACACCUGCAGCUACCAGAAGCACCAAGAGGCAGAGAAAGACCCUCCCCUGAGCCUCUGGGGCAGCAUGACCUUGACAACACCUGGAAGGAUAGCUGGAGAAAAAGGAUCCUGGGGGAUGCUGCUGCCCUCAGAACCGGCAUAGAAGCAUCUUUCUUCACCCACUCUUCUGUCACCCCCACUGCUGUCCUGUAGCCCCAUACACCUGUCCCCCCACACUGUCCCUUACACCUGCAGCUCCUCUUCUCCCACUCUGGCUGCAAGCUCCCUGAUGGUGGGGUUGGGGGGAAGGAACACGUCCAUCCCCACCAGCCCCUGACCCUGGGGGAGAGUUACGGCGCAAAUAAGUAAUUCCAGCACUGGAAAGAGACUCUGAAGAUUUUCCUUUCCCCUCAUGGACAUAUUCAUGGCAUAAGAAAGCUCCCAAGCCAGGGAUUACAUCUGAGCUGCAGCUGCAGCAAUACCAGAUCCUUUAACCCACCCUGCCGGGCUGGGGAUCGAACCCGCACCUCUGCGGUAACACAAACUACUGCAGUCGGAUUCUUAAUCCACUAUGCCACGGCGGGAACUCCCCCGGAAGAUAUUUUUAAUCUAACUGCUCAGUCCCCACAGGUGCAAACUGAGGGCCAGAGAAGCGGAGUGAAGGGCCAGGACUGGGCCCCAAGAUGCCCAGACCCAAGGCCUCGCUGCCUCUGCUUCCGGCCAACCGGACCUCUUGCUGGACCAGCUUCCUGCCUCACCAGAUCGUUCCCUGAAGCAUCCCAAGUGCCCAGAAGAGUCUAGCACAUAGUAGGUGCAUGUUGAACAAUAGGUAAGUGUUUGUUGAAUGAGCAUUUGUUAAAGGAACCCAGGGUGGGAGGGGGAUAUGCAAAAUUGGUCUUAAUAUUGUAAAUGCUGCUCACAAAAACAGCAACAGCCUUCUGGGUGGAAAAAUAAAAACCCUCAAAGGGCACUCAUACCCUCCGUGUCUGUACUUCUGGGAACUCCUCUGCCAUGCUUUCCUCUGAGAAGGCAGGAAAGGGUGAGAGCAGCAGGACUGAACGCUGCCCAAUAACAACUGUGAUGCAAAUAACCUCACCCAUUCACUCACCAGGCAUCUGCCAAGUCUCACGAGGCCCAGACACUGACAGAGGCCCCAGGGGCCCGGAGGAGGCAAAGCCACCCCUGCCAGCAAGGGACGCGCAACUGAGAGGAAGAGCUGACAGUUACCAAGGCAGAGGAUGGGUGAUGGAGGGAGGUCCAGAACUCUAGGACCAGAGAGGGCUCAGCCUGGGGCAGGAUGGAAGGCUGCCUGGAGGUGGUGGCGGAUCCCAGAACCUGAAAGACACAUGGCGGCACCUCCACGAAGAUGGGAAUGCAGACAGGCCAGGGGAGAGUCCAAUUCCAAAAGAGACUGAGGGGCAGUGGGCACCGUCAGAGCCAGCUCCCGCUGGCCAAAGGUCCACCCUCUUCCCUGAGCACCCCAAUGGGAACCUGACACCAGCGUAAGUCGUGGUCUGUUCCUCUGUGAACAUGGAAUGCUAAAAUGGAGCAGAACCCCCGCAAGACAGAAAAAACCCUAAGCUUGGGAUUUGGAGACCAGAUCCAAGCCUCUAAGAGGGGCUGUGAUCCUCAGCUUCUCACCUGCAAAGAAAGGUCAGGGGAGAACUGGAUGAUCUUCAGUGAUGCAGCGGAAGUUUUUAAAAAAUGAAUCAAUGACACCUGGCUGAAGGACAAAUAAGGAAAUAAGGGUUAAAAAUCCAUCAAACUGGAGAGCAGCGCGAGGCGGAUAAUGUCUGGAGUGACAGCCUCCUAAGGCCUGGCCGGCACCGUGGGGCACGGGUCUCACGAGCCCUCGGCUGCUCCCCCACUACUGCGCCGGGACAC
rnacentral:lncRNA from 1 species